GUUCCCUUCCAAACACUUCAGAAGAAACAACAACCAUAGCUAAUAUCACAAAUUAAAACUUUAUGAGAUACAACUUUCAGCUGAAGUGUUUGGGGGAACUCUGGAAGAUAUUUCGUUUUCUAUAUACUUAUUUCUUUCAUCGCAAAGGUGUGACUGAAACCCUAAACCAAACUAUACAUUUUCUUUCCUUGUUUCUUUGAUUCUAAGUGCUUUGAGGAGUAGAAUAAUCCUAUUUGCUUUGAUUGUGCGGAUUCAAAAUUAAACUCUUUCAAAUGGAAUUGAAAUAGAAUAUGGUGGGAAAGCGAAAUGAAUAACUCGCAUUGGCUGCCUUUCAAGGAGGAGCCAAAAAUGAAAAUUAAGUCAUCGGAGCAGCGGUUAUACCCAAGAUAGAAAAUAUCAUGUCAUUUGAAUAAGAGAAAAGGAAAGCAAAGAGAAACGGAAGGGAAGACGAUGGAAGGAGAAGAAAGAGAUUGAAACCGAUCUAACGAGCCGCCAACCAACGCGAUGAACUCGAUGCUUCACCAUUGGGCCUUCUAAAAUGAGAGAGUUUGUUUAUAAUUUUUUUCUUUUUAAAAAAAGUAGUCGUCAAUGACCACAACACUGAUGGGAGGUAGGGAGAUGAAGAGGAAGAGAAAUGAGUGAAGCAAAAAAUUACUAUGAAACUUAAUCAUUCUUUCUAUGUUUGAAACAUAUUUUAGAUAAUAUAAUUACUUCAAAUCAUAUAUUACCUUGCUUUCUAAACUUAACCAAAAUAU